rnacentral:rRNA from 1 species
UGGGGAAUAUUGCACAAUGGGCGCAAGCCUGAUGCAGCUAUGCCGCGUGUGUGAAGAAGGCCUUCGGGUUGUAACGCACUUUCAGCGGGGAGGAAGGCGGUGAGGUUAAUAACCUCACCGAUUGACGUUAUCCGCAGUAGAAGCACCGGCUAACUCCGUGCCAGCAGCCGCGGUAAUACGGAGGGUGCAAGCGUUAAUCGGAUUUACUGGGCGUAAAGCGCACGCAGGCGGUCUGUCAAGUCGGAUGUGAAAUCCCCGGGCUCAACCUGGGAACUGCCUUCGAAACUGGCAGGCUAGAGUCGUGUAGAGGGGGGUAGAAUUCCAGGUGUAGCGGUGAACUGCGUAGAGAUCUGGAGGAAUACCGGUGGCGAAGGCGGCCCCCUGGACAAAGACUGACGCUCAGGUGCGAAAGCGUGGGGAGCAAACAGG